GAGGCCGUGUAGCGUCGCCGUUACUCCGAGGAGAUACCAGUCGGUAGAGGAGAAGUCGAGCUUGUCCAGGUUGAUCUUGAACUCCUGACCUCGUGAUCUACCCACCUCGGCCUCCCAAAAUGCUGGGAUUACAGGGGUGAGCCACCGUGCCCAACCUCACUUGCUUCUUAUCCUUACACUCCCCCAGCCCCAGAGAAACUGCCACAUACACCACAAAAACCAAACAUCCCCCAAUGACCUUAGCCCCAUUGCUCCAUUCACUCCCAGGUGAGAAUUCAGGCAAACGUCCACAAAGGUCACAGGCAGCGUACAUACGGUUCUGUUAUACCCCAUAUAUUACCCCUUCAUGUCCUAAAGAAGACAUUUUCUCUUAGAGAUUUUCAUUUUAGUGUAUCUU
rnacentral:lncRNA from 1 species